UUGGUUCCUGGCUCAGACGGAACGCUGGUGGGCGUGUUUUAUACAUGCAAGUCGAGCGAGGACAAUAGCUUGCUACUGAGCCGAGCGGCGAACGGGUGAGUAACGCGUAAGCAAUCUGCCCCAUAGUCGGGAAUAACCGCGCUAACGUGCGGCUAAUGCCGGAUAUUGUGUCCUACCGCAUGGUAGGUUGACGAAAGAUUUAUCGCUAUGGGAUGAGCUUGCGUCCGAUUAGCUAGUUGGUAGGGUAAUGGCCUACCAAGGCAGUGAUCGGUAGCCGACCUGAGAGGGUGAUCGGCCACAUUGGGAUUGAGAUACGGCCCAGACUCCUACGGGAGGCAGCAGUAAAGAAUAUUGCGCAAUGGGGGGAACCCUGACGCAGCAACGCCACGUGUGGGAAGAAGCAUUUCGGUGUGUAAACCACUGUCGAAAAGGAAUAAUAGAAGAUUUCGGUCUUUUUGAAUGUACUUUUAAUAGGAAGCACCGGCAAACUUCGUGCCAGCAGCCGCGGUAAUACGAGGGGUGCAAGCGUUGUUCGGAAUUACUGGGCGUAAAGGGAGCGUAGGCGGAGCUUCAAGCAAUCUGUAUAAUCCUGGGGCCCAACCCCAGUCCUGCAGAUUGGACUGUAGCUCUUGAAUAGUUCAGAGGCAAGCGGAAUACCUGGUGUAGCGGUGGAAUGCGUAGAUAUCAGGUAGAACACCAAUGGCGAAGGCAGCUUGCUGGGGACUUAUUGACGCUGAGGCUCGAAAGUGUGGGUAGCAAACAGGAUUAGAUACCCUGGUAGUCCACACAGUAAACUAUGGACACUCGCUGUCGGCGAUAUACUGUCGGUGGCUAAGCGAAAGCAUUAAGUGUCCCACCUGGGGAGUACGUCGGCAACGAUGAAACUCAAAGGAAUUGACGGGGGCCCGCACAAGCGGAGGAACAUGUGGUUUAAUUCGAUGAUACGCGAGGAACCUUACCCGGGUUUGAAUUGCUGAAUUUGCAUUUGGAGACAUUUGCUUCCCUUUUGGGUUUCAGUGAAGGUGCUGCAUGGUUGUCGUCAGCUCGUGCCGUGAGGUGUCGGCUUAAGUGCCAUAACGAGCGCAACCCUUGCCGUUAGUUGCCAUCGGGUCAUGCCGGGCACUCUAUUGGGACUGCCAUCGUAAGAUGUGAGGAAGGUGGGGAUGACGUCAAAUCAGCACGGCCCUUACAUCCAGGGCUACACACGUGUUACAAUGGCCGGUACAAAGGGCAGCUACACAGCGAUGUGAUGCUAAUCUCCAAAUCCGGUCUCAGUUCGGAUCGAAGUCUGCAACCCGACUUCGUGAAGCUGGAUUCGCUAGUAAUCGCGCAUCAGCCAUGGCGCGGUGAAUACGUUCCCGGGCCUUGUACACACCGCCCGUCAAG
rnacentral:rRNA from 1 species